CUAUGUAUUUUUCAAGAAAGAAAGGAUGGUUUCCUAUCAUUAUCCUGCAUGCUAUGGGUGUAGUCACACCUUCUUACAGCUUUCAAUAAAUUUGCAAAAGCAGCUUUUCCUUCUGGUCUUAGAAAAAUUACAUGUAGACAAUUUUGUUUGUUAGGGAACAGGCUCAGAUGAGAUCUGAAUCAAAUACACUCUAUAGUAAUUUGUAUAAUCUAAAACCUUGUUAUAUAAUCACAGUGAUACAACCACCAUGGUAUAAUCAGAGUAUAAUCUAAAAUCACACAGACGCUUCUUCACCCAAAGGACCAAAGAAACAAAGCCAUCUGUCUACGGAGACCAGUUAAACCUUGGCUUUCUUCUGAGGUCCAGAGUUGCUGAGUCCCAUGAAACUGUUGGUGGAGGUACCAAAGCCAGAGCUGCUAUAGUUUCUUCAUCAUUUGAAGAAGAAAGCCUUGAACAGAGGUAAACAGAAGAUAAACCUAUUCAGUGACUUGCCUGAGACGUUCCAUGUUGGGACCACUUCUCUACCUGAACGAGAAAGCUGAGGUGCAGAUGUCGUGCUUACUUUAUUACAGCUGUAAGCUCCUGCCAACUGCGGAAGCUUCAGUGUUUUUGAUUCCAUCCAUGAGUCCACAAGCCAAACAUACUCUGGCCAUAGCUCCAUUUCUUGCACUACAACACUAAUUGCAUUACUGUGGGACAAGUCAUUUUUAACACAAUGGUCAGGCAGAAAAUUAAUCAAUCUGAAUGAAUCUAGGAGUUAAUGACAUAGUUUUACUCCAUCACAUACUGAUCCAAAGAUUAAGGAAGCAAUGCCUUGCAUGGUAUAUGACUAGAAGGUUUCCAAGACAAAAUGUGAAUUGCUCACAAGAAUUUCUCAUAGUCAAAAAUAAGCAUAAGUCAAUGUCAAUUUUUGCCGAAAGGGCUGUUAUCUCAUUUCUCUGAAUGAUGUAAACUAGGUUGACAAAGAUCUGUCCAACUGUUGUCUGUCUGUAGCAGAGUCCUGCUUAUUCCAUGGAUGUUGCUGGUCCAGAGGUGCUGGCUAAACUGCGUUUUUAACAUAAUGACUGUGAUGGAAACUCUUUUGUGAGCUUAAUCCAUUAGUGUCAAACUGCAUGGACAAUGCCUAGUAGAAUGGGGCUCAGGUUUUUGAGUGGCCUAUAGGUUCCGCUGUGAAGCUCUGAGACUGAUUUUCUCGGUGUUAGGGAAGAUGGGGACAGGAUCCUCAGAAGCAUUCAAACUUCUUCACAUUCAGUGGUGCCUUUUUAGAGUUGGCAUCAUUUCAAAGUAAUGGUGUGAGUUACAUACUGAGUUCUUCUUGUGUAAUUGCUUUGGCUUCCAGUUAGAAAGCAAAAGAAGGAUUAAUUCUAACUCUAAAGAUGGAGUAACGCAAACACUUCUUUAACAGUGAAUACUGGCAAUCCUUUCUCUUAGUCAGCAAGCAAGUUAUUUCCCAUUAAAAUAACAUCUGCUUUGAACACAAUUUAUAAGCAGCACUACCUAGAUACUAGGAUACUAAUACCAUAUAAAGAAAAUGCCUGCCUGUAAGAGGAUACUUCUUGUUAAGUGUUGGUCAUUAGAGCCACAUUUUAAUACAUUGAGUUCUCAUAUGAGGAAAUGUGUGCGUAAUUCAUUAUAAUUUAUGGGAAAUAAGAUCACAGUAAAUUAACAGAUCUAAGCCCUGCUUUUGAUUGUGCUUUGAGACAAGGUAUGGCUCAAUAAUGGUGAAUUCACCUGAUGGGAAGUACUUUAAUUGUACUGUUACUGCUUCAAGAAUGAAUUACACCUGUAGUAUUUCAACCUACUAAGAAAAAGUUGUAGAAAUAAAAAGAAACUGUAGGAUAGGACUGAAUAAUAAAAUUGAGUAUUAUCUUCUUUCAUGUAUAGUAUCUAGGAUAUAACAGAAAAUACCUCACAAUUUUUGGGUGGCAAUGGAAAUCCAAAUGGAAUAAAAUAAAGAUUUCCUGUUGCUAUGUAGGUCCAUAGAUGAUUUUCUUUGUAAUUUAGAUGAAGAAUACUGUGGAUGCUUAUGUACAAUUUACAUCUCUGUGAGUCUGUUAAGCUAAGGUUCAUGCAGGUAUCUUCUGAACUCAAUCCUCUGAAAUAUUACAAGUAAAUAAAUGGG